UAGCGGUCAACUAACUGUAGUGGC
rnacentral:miRNA from 1 species